rnacentral:rRNA from 1 species
UACGGAGGGUGCAAGCGUUGCUCGGAAUUACUGGGCGUAAAGGGCGCGUAGGCGGCCUGCUAAGUCGAACGUGAAAUCCCCGGGCUCAACCCGGGAACUGCGUCCGAUACUGGCAGGCUUGAAUUCGGGAGAGGGAUGCGGAAUUCCAGGUGUAGCGGUGAAAUGCGUAGAUAUCAGGAGGAACACCGGUGGCGAAGGCGGAUCUCUGGGCCUUACCUGACGCUCAGGUGCGAAAGCUAGGGGAGCGAACAGG